rnacentral:rRNA from 1 species
UACGGAGGGAGCUAGCGUUGUUCGGAAUUACUGGGCGUAAAGCGCACGUAGGCGGCUUCGUAAGUUAGAGGUGAAAGCCCGGGGCUCAACCCCCGGAAUUGCCUUUAAGACUGCAUCGCUUGAAUCCAGGAGAGGUGAGUGGAAUUCCGAGUGUAGAGGUGAAAUUCGUAGAUAUUCGGAAGAACACCAGUGGCGAAGGCGGCUCACUGGAGCUGGUAUUGACGCUGAGGUGCGAAAGCGUGGGGAGCAAACAGG